CCUUGUUGAUCCUGCCAGUAGCAUAUUCGUGUUUCAAAGAUUAAGCCACGUGUAAGUACAAACGACUGGUACAGUGAAACUGCAAAUGGCUCAUUAAAUCAGUUAUGGUUCCAUUGAUCGCUCCAUCUGUUACUUGGAUAACUGUGGGGGGCUCUAAUUAUUAGCUGUAAUUCUAGAGCUAAUUAAUGCUGACGAGCAUGGACCUCCCGGGAUGCGUGCAUUUAUCAAACCCAAGACCAAUCCGGGCUCGCCCAGCUGCUUUGGUGACUCUAGAUAACCUCAGGCCGAUCGCACAUCCAUGUGACCACAACGAUGCAUUCAGAUGUCUGCCCUAUCAACUUUCGAUGGUACUUUCUGUGCCUACCAUGGUGACCACAGGUAAUGGGGAAUCGGGGUUUGAUUCUGGAGAGGAAGCCUGAGAAACGGCUACCACAUCAAGGAAUGCAGCAUGCACCAAAUUACCCAAUCCUGACUCCGGGAGGUAGUGACGAAAAAUAACAAUACAGGACUCUUUUUCGAGGCACUGUAAUUGGAAUGAGUACACUUUAAAUCCUUUAACAAGUACCCAUUGGAGGGCAAGUCUGGUGCCAGCAGCCGCAGUAAUUCCAGCUCCAAUAGCAUAUAUUAAAGUUGCUGCAGUUAAAAAGCUCGUAGUUGGAUCUUGGGAUCGAGAUGGCGAUCCGCCCCGAGGCGAGCUACCACUGCCUGUCCCAGCCCCUGUCUCUUGGCGCCCCUUGAUGCUCUUGACUGAGUAUCCUGGGGUCUGAAGCAUAUACUUUGAAAAAAGUACAGUGUUCAAAGCAGGCCGGUUACCUGAAUACUUAAGCUAGGAUUAAUGGAAUAGGACACUGGUUCUAGUUUGUGUUUUUCUGAACUGGGGCGUGAUUAAGAGGGACAGCCAGGGACAUUCGUAUUGUGCCGCUAGAGGUGACAUUCUUGGACCAGCGCAAGAGGAACCAAAGUGAAAGUAUUAGCCAAUAAUGUUUUCAUUAAUCUACUAGCGAUCUGGCAGUGUUAUUCCUUGACCCGCCGAGCAGCUUCCGGAAAACCAAGUCUUUGGUUCUCGGGGGGGGGGGGGUGGAGAGGGUAGGGGGAGUAUGGUAGCAAAGCUGAAACUUAAAGGAAUUGAUGGAAGGGCACCACCAGGAGUGGAGCCUGCGUCUUGAUUGAAACCUCACCUGGCCCGGACACGGAAAAGAUUGAAAAAUUGAUAGCUCUUUCUCGAUUCUGUGGGUGAUGGUGCAUGGCCGUUCUUAGUUGGUGGAUCGAUUUGUCUGGUUAAAUCCGAUAACGAACGAGACUCCUCCAUGCUAACUAAUUAUUUGCCAUGAACAAGGAAUUCCCAUUAAGUGCGGGUCAUAAGCUUGCGUUUAUUAAGUCUCUGCCCUUUCUACACACCGCCCGUCGCUACUACAGAUUGGAUGGUUUAGUGAGGUCCUCGGAUCAGCAAGAAGACGAUCAAACUUGACUAUCUAGAGGAAGUCGUACGGGUUGGGCUAACCUGCUGGGGACGCUCUG
rnacentral:rRNA from 1 species